rnacentral:sRNA from 1 species
UUUUUAAACUGCUAUGUUAUUUUUAUAAACAUAGUUCCAGAUAGUAUACUAAGAGAGUUAAGUGUCUUUCAAUCUUUAUGUCAGGAGGUGACCAACAGUGGAUUCAUUGUUUCUGGACAAUUGUAUGACAGCCACUUCCUCCUAAGCCAACAUGCCACUCUUCAUCUUGACUUGCUAAAAAGAGUAUCACAUCGAAAUGGAAAUUUUACCUGCUCCGUAUUCUCAGGUUUCUGCUGAGCUGCAACGAACUGCAUGAACUUACAAAGGAACUCAGAUCCAGUGCCCCGCACUCAAGGUUUGGAAGUUAUUCUGCACAUUACAGAGGUGAAGUCUACAGAUCAGUAUAGAUUACUGGUGACUGCCCUGCAAAAUAUACUGGUGGAAGUGUGGCACAAAUAUUGUGGAAGUCACCAAACACUAUCCAAUUGGAUAUAACAUUCAAUGAGACAAAAUCCAUGACUGAUGCUGUUCGUGUGGCCAAGAAAUGAGACUGGGAAAGACAUGGACCUAAAGGAAAACGAAACACAAUUGUUCUGGUGGAGGAAUGGAGCAAUACAAGGAACCCUAAAGGUUUUCUUGUAUAUGCAUAAUAAUUAUUUAAAAACAGGUUAGAGUCCUAACUUUACAGAGUGAAGUGGUUUGACUUGAAAUUAACCAAAUGGAAAACUCAAAAGUAUAAACCAUAAGUACAACUUAAAGAUAAAUACCUAUGAUCUAGAUUGAAAACCAGGGCACAGGUGAACACAUCUACAAUGAAGAUUUUGAUCACACAGUGAGAACAUAGAAAUCUUAGAGGCAUAUUUAGUUAAAAUAAAAAAGGGUUUACAUUAAUUUUAUGAAUAAUAUGAUUGAAAUAUAUUGAAUCAAAGCAGAGAAACAGUGAAAAUAGUUUGCAGUUGAUUUACAUUCUAACACUGUUUUAAUUUUAUUAUGGACAUAUGGGAAUAGGGGGAAACUCAAUAUUGCCUAUGUGAACUUAUCCCAGAUUACCUGGCAGGACAAGCUCAGUACAAUUCACAGAAGUACAUUAGCUUCCAAGUUUUAUAAUGCUCACACUGAAUAUUCUUGGCAUGUACGGAUAAAUACCUUUGAGUUCUUCUCAAUACUGUAAAAAUAUCAAAGUGUAUAUGAGGACAGAACUUUUUCUUUUAAUCUUGAGUAGGAGACUAUCAUGUUUUCACAAAAACUAGAAGGACCAGCAUGAUGUAUUUAUUUAACAUGUGAAUUUUUUACUCUGAAAUGCAUGCCAGACUUUUAAUCUUUCUCAAUAUGUUCUAGAAGAUGAUGCUUUUUGUAUUAAAGCUUGUUUGGAAUAAGUCCAUAGUGCACUAAAAUUUCUGAGAGAAAAAAAUCCUGUUCUAUCUGCAAAUAGUUCCACAGAAAGCAAGCAGGCACAUCGUGUCAUCGUGAGUUACAGCCACGCAUCCACACAACCGCUGUUUGCCUACAAUCACAGCAAUGAAUUACAGUAAUACAUUCAAUCCUGAUAAAUGGCCUGCUCUGCCGUUGCUUAAAUUAAACUGACUGCAAUCCAGAUGAGUGCAGCCACAUAUUAACGCUGGGUCCACCAUUUCUUGUCUCUCUCUUGGUGAAUUAUUGGGUGGUAGUGCUGGCUUUAUGCAUUGAUUAACAUUGCGGCUAAAGCUUUUUCACAGAUCAAUGUUCAAGUGAAAUGAAAUGUAGGCUCAAGCAUGCUGCUGCCACAUUUAAUGCUGCCACCAUAAAAAUGAAUGUGCAGUGUUUAAAAUCAAAUAUUAUAAAUAACAUGGGCGAUUUCCUUUCUAAUUUUUUACAAUUCUUCUAAGAUAAUAUUAAUGAAUAACAGCAAGGCACAUAACAAUUGAAGAUUAAUGCUCCAUAUUUUUUGGAGUAUGUAAAAGAACUUUUGAGUUGCCUCAACGAAUUUUUUUAGAGAUGCAUAAACACAUACAUACAUAAAUUUUUCAAACUGUGUUAUCCCUUAAUAUUUCAAAAACUUCAUAUACUACAUAUUUAAUUUACUUUCUCCUUGUAAAAACCUCCAAAUUGAAUAUGAUACUUAAAUACAUGAUAAUGAGACAAUGAUGAACUGUACAAUAAAUUAC